CCUAUAGGAAAUUCCUAUAGGAAUUCUAUUCCUAUAGGAUCCUAUAGGAAUUCCUAUAGGAAAUUCCUAUAGGAAUUCCUAUAGGA